rnacentral:rRNA from 1 species
GUAGGGAAUCUUCGGCAAUGGACGAAAGUCUGACCGAGCAACGCCGCGUGAGUGAAGAAGGUUUUCGGAUCGUAAAACUCUGUUGUUAGAGAAGAACGUUGUGUAGAGUGGAAAAUUACACAAGUGACGGUAUCUAACCAGAAAGGGACGGCUAACUACGUGCCAGCAGCCGCGGUAAUACGUAGGUCCCGAGCGUUGUCCGGAUUUAUUGGGCGUAAAGCGAGCGCAGGUGGUUUAAUAAGUCUGAUGUAAAAGGCAGUGGCUCAACCAUUGUGUGCAUUGGAAACUGUUAGACUUGAGUGCAGUAGAGGAGAGUGGAAUUCCAUGUGUAGCGGUGAAAUGCGUAGAUAUAUGGAGGAACACCGGUGGCGAAAGCGGCUCUCUGGACUGUAACUGACACUGAGGCUCGAAAGCGUGGGUAGCAAACAGGAUUAGAUACCCUGGUAGUCC